rnacentral:rRNA from 1 species
UGGGGAAUAUUGGACAAUGGGGGAAACCCUGAUCCAGCAAUGCCGCGUGAGUGAAGAAGGCCUUCGGGUUGUAAAGCUCUUUUGUCAGGGAAGAAACGGUAGUAGCGAAUAACUAUUACUAAUGACGGUACCUGAAGAAUAAGCACCGGCUAACUACGUGCCAGCAGCCGCGGUAAUACGUAGGGUGCAAGCGUUAAUCGGAAUUACUGGGCGUAAAGCGUGCGCAGGCGGUUGUGUAAGUCAGAUGUGAAAUCCCCGGGCUCAACCUGGGAAUUGCAUUUGAGACUGCACGGCUAGAGUGUGUCAGAGGGGGGUAGAAUUCCACGUGUAGCAGUGAAAUGCGUAGAUAUGUGGAGGAAUACCGAUGGCGAAGGCAGCCCCCUGGGAUAACACUGACGCUGAUGCGCGAAAGCAAGGGGAUCAAACAGGAUUAGAUACCCCAGUAGUCCCUGAGCGGGCUGGCAAGGCGCAU